rnacentral:rRNA from 1 species
UGGGGAAUUUUGCGCAAUGGACGAAAGUCUGACGCAGCAACGCCGCGUGGGUGAUGAAGGUCUUCGGACUGUAAAACCCUGUCGUCAGGGACGAAGGUCGGGUCGUUAAUAGCGAUUUGGCUUGACGGUACCUGGAGAGGAAGCCCCGGCUAACUCUGUGCCAGCAGCCGCGGUAAUACAGAGGGGGCAAGCGUUAUUCGGAAUUAUUGGGCGUAAAGGGCGCGUAGGCGGUUUGUUAAGUCGGAUGUGCAAUCCCCGGGCUCAACCUGGGAACUGCAUCCGAGACUGGGAGACUAGAGUACUGGAGAGGUUGGUGGAAUUCCACGUGUAGCGGUGAAAUGCGUAGAGAUGUGGAGGAACACCAGUGGCGAAGGCGGCCAACUGGACAGUAACUGACGCUGAGGCGCGAAAGUGUGGGUAGCAAACAGGAUUAGAUACCCCCGUAGUCC